rnacentral:tRNA from 1 species
CGGAAUAGCUCAGUUGGUAGAGCAGAGGACUGAAAAUC